rnacentral:misc_RNA from 1 species
UCCGAGUUGACCCCGGCAGUCUUCGAUGAGUCCCCGGCAUAACCCGCUGGCAACAUCGAACGAGGGUUGCGCUCGUUGCGGGACUUAACCCAACAUCUCACGACACGAGCUGACGACAGCCAUGCACCACCUGUGAACGCCCCCGAAGGACACCACAUCUCUGCGGCUUUAGCGCCCAUGUCAAACCCAGGUAAGGUUCUUCGCGUUGCAUCGAAUUAAUCCGCAUGCUCCGCCGCUUGUGCGGGCCCCCGUCAAUUCCUUUGAGUUUCAACCUUGCGGUCGUACUCCCCAGGUGGCUUACUUAACGGUUUCCCUUGGACGCACAACCUCUAGGGCCAUACGUCGAGUAUCCAUCGUUUAGGGCGUGGACUAC